rnacentral:rRNA from 1 species
UAGAGUUUGAUCAUGGCUCAGAACGAACGCUGGCGGCAGGCUUAACACAUGCAAGUCGAACGACAUAGUGGCAGACGGGUGAGUAACGCGUGGGAACGUACCCUUCACUACGGAAUAGCUUCUGGAAACGGAAGGUAAUACCGUAUACGCCCUUCGGGGGAAAGAUUUAUCGGUGAAGGAUCGGCCCGCGUUAGAUUAGUUUGUUGGUGGGGUAAUGGCCUACCAAGACUACGAUCUAUAGCUGGUCUGAGAGGAUGAUCAGCCACACUGGGACUGAGACACGGCCCAGACUCCUACGGGAGGCAGCAGUGGGGAAUCUUGCACAAUGGGCGAAAGCCUGAUGCAGCCAUGCCGCGUGAAUGAUGACGGCCUUAGGGUUGUAAAAUUCUUUCGCCAGGGAUGAUAAUGACAGUACCUGGUAAAGAAGCCCCGGCUAACUUCGUGCCAGCAGCCGCGGUAAUACGAAGGGGGCUAGCGUUGUUCGGAAUUACUGGGCGUAAAGCGCGCGUAGGCGGGCUAUUAAGCCAGAUGUGAAAGCCCGGGGCUCAACCCCGGAAUUGCAUUUGGAACUGGUAGCCUAGAGACCAGGAGAGGUUAGCGGAAUACCGAGUGUAGAGGUGAAAUUCGUAGAUAUUCGGUGGAACACCAGUGGCGAAGGCGGCUAACUGGACUGGUACUGACGCUGAGGCGCGAAAGUGUGGGGAGCAAACAGGAUUAGAUACCCUGGUAGUCCACACCGUAAACGAUGAAUGCUAGUUGUCUGCGCGCAUGCGUGCAGGUGACGCAGCUAACGCAUUAAGCAUUCCGCCUGGGGAGUACGGCCGCAAAGGUUAAAACUCAAAGAAAUUGACGGGGGCCCGCACAAGCGGUGGAGCAUGUGGUUUAAUUCGAAGCAACGCGCAGAACCUUACCCGCGUUUGACAUGCCCUGUUUGGUUACCAGAGAUGGUUUCCUUCAUUUAGUUGGCAGGUGCACAGGUGCUGCAUGGCUGUCGUCAGCUCGUGUCGUGAGAUGUUGGGUUAAGUCCCGCAACGAGCGCAACCCUUAUCCUUAGUUGCCAGCACGUUUGGGUGGGCACUCUAAGGAAACUGCCGGUGCUAAGCCGGAGGAAGGCGGGGAUGACGUCAAGUCCUCAUGGCCCUUACACGCGGGGCUACACACGUGCUACAAUGGCAGUGACAAUGGGAUAAUCCCAAAAAGCUGUCUCAGUUCAGAUUGUCCUCUGCAACUCGAGGGCAUGAAGUUGGAAUCGCUAGUAAUCGUGGAUCAGCAUGCCACGGUGAAUACGUUCCCGGGCCUUGUACACACCGCCCGUCACAUCAUGGGAGUUGGAUCUACCCGAAGACUGUGCGCUAACUUCGGAGGCAGCAGGCCACGGUAGGUUCAGCGACUGGGAUGAAGUCGUAACAAGGUACC